CCUACGGGAGGCAGCAGUGAGGAAUAUUGGUCAAUGGACGAGAGUCUGAACCAGCCAAGUAGCGUGAAGGAUGACUGCCCUAUGGGUUGUAAACUUCUUUUAUAUGGGAAUAAAAUGUUCCACGUGUGGGAUUUUGUAUGUACCAUAUGAAUAAGGAUCGGCUAACUCCGUGCCAGCAGCCGCGGUAAUACGGAGGAUCCGAGCGUUAUCCGGAUUUAUUGGGGUUAAAGGGAGCGUAGGUGGAUUGUUAAGUCAGUUGUGAAAGUUUGCGGCUCAACCGUAAAAUUGCAGUUGAAACUGGCAGUCUUGAGUACAGUAGAGGUGGGUGGAAUUCGUGGUGUAGCGGUGAAAUGCUUAGAUAUCACGAAGAACUCCGAUUGCGAAGGCAGUUCACUGGACUGCAACUGACACUGAGGCUCGAAAGUGUGGGUAUCAAACAGGAUUAGAUACCCGAGUAGUC
rnacentral:rRNA from 1 species